rnacentral:rRNA from 1 species
GUCUACUGCCAUACCACCCUGAACGCGCCCAAUUUUGUCUGAUCUCGGAAACUAAGCAGGGUUGGGCCUGGUUAGUACUUGGAUGGGAGUAUCUGCUUUCUCUAUUCU